AGGCUGAUAGGAGAGAGAAGAGAGCAAGUCAGAGGAUCCUUGGCCUAGGCUGAUAGGAGAGAGAAGAGGGCAAGUCAGAGGUUCCUUGGCUGAUAGGAGAGAGAAGAGGGCAAGUCAGAGAAUCCUUGGCCUAGGCUGAUAGGAGAGAGAGAAGAGGGCGAGUCACAGGAGCCUCGGCUGAUAGGAGAGAGAGAAGAGGGCAAGUCAGAGGAUCCUUGGCCUAGGCUGAUAGGAGAGAGAGAAGAGGGCAAGUCAGAGGUUCCUUGGCCUAGGCUGAUAGGAGAGAGAGAAGAGGGCAAGUCAGAGGAUCCUUGGCCUAGGCUGAUAGGAGAGAGAAGAGGGCAAGUCAGAGGAUCCUUGGCCUAGGCUGAUAGGAGAGAGAGAAGAGGGCAAGUCAGAGGAUCCUUGGCCUAGGCUGAUAGGAGAGAGAAGAGGGCAAGUCAGAGGAUCCUUGGCCUAGGCUGAUAGGAGAGAGAGAAGAGGGCAAGUCAGAGGAUCCUUGGCCUAGGCUGAUAGGAGAGAGAAGAGGGCAAGUCAGAGGAUCCUUGGCCUAGGCUGAUAGGAGAGAGAGAAGAGGGCAAGUCAGAGGUUCCUUGGCCUAGGCUGAUAGGGAGAGAGAAGAGGGCAAGUCAGAGGAUCCUUGACCUAGGCUGAUAGGAGAGAGAGAAGAGGGCAAGUCAGAGGUUCCUUGGCCUAGGCUGAUAGGAGAGAGAAGAGGGCAAGUCAGAGGUUCCUUGGCCUAGGCUGAUAGGAGAGAGAAGAGGGCAAGUCAGAGGUUCCUUGACCUAGGCUGAUAGGAGAGAGAAGAGAGCAAGUCAGAGGAUCCUUGGCCUAGGCUGAUAGGAGAGAGAGAAGAGGGCAAGUAGAGGUUCCUUGGCCUAGGCUGAUAGGAGAGAGAAGAGGGCAAGUCAGAGGAUCCUUGGCCUAGGCUGAUAGGAGAGAGAGAAGAGGGCAAGUCAGAGGUUCCUUGGCUGAUAGGAGAGAGAAGAGGGCAAGUCAGAGGAUCCUUGGCUGAUAGGAGAGAGAGAAGAGGGCAAGUCAGAGGUUCCUUGGCCUAGGCUGAUAGGAGAGAGAAGAGAGCAAGUCAGAGGAUCCUUGGCCUAGGCUGAUAGGAGAGAGAAGAGGGCAAGUCAGAGGUUCCUUGGCCUAGGCUGAUAGGAGAGAGAGAAGAGGGCAAGUCAGAGGUUCCUUGGCUGAUAGGAGAGAGAGAAGAGAGCAAGUCAGAGGAUCCUUGGCCUAGGCUGAUAGGAGAGAGAAGAGGGCAAGUCAGAGGUUCCUUGGCCUAGGCUGAUAGGAGAGAGAGAAGAGGGCAAGUCAGAGGUUCCUUGGCUGAUAGGAGAGAGAAGAGGGCAAGUCAGAGGUUCCUUGGCUGAUAGGAGAGAGAAGAGAGCAAGUCAGAGGUUCCUUGGCCUAGGCUGAUAGGAGAGAGAAGAGAGCAAGUCAGAGGUUCCUUGACCUAGGCUGAUAGGAGAGAGAAGAGGGCAAGUCAGAGGAUCCUUGGCCUAGGCUGAUAGGAGAGAGAAGAGGGCAAGUCAGAGGAUCCUUGGCCUAGGCUGAUAGGAGAGAGAAGAGGGCAAGUCAGAGGUUCCUUGGCCUAGGCUGAUAGGAGAGAGAGAAGAGGGCAAGUCAGAGGUUCCUUGGCUGAUAGGAGAGAGAAGAGGGCAAGUCAGAGGUUCCUUGGCUGAUAGGAGAGAGAAGAGAGCAAGUCAGAGGUUCCUUGGCCUAGGCUGAUAGGAGAGAGAAGAGGGCAAGUCAGAGGAUCCUUGGCCUAGGCUGAUAGGAGAGAGAAGAGAGCAAGUCAGAGGAUCCUUGACCUAGGCUGAUAGGAGAGAGAAGAGGGCAAGUCAGAGGUUCCUUGGCCUAGGCUGAUAGGAGAGAGAAGAGGGCAAGUCAGAGGAUCCUUGGCCUAGGCUGAUAGGAGAGAGAAGAGGGCAAGUCAGAGGUUCCUUGGCCUAGGCUGAUAGGAGAGAGAGAAGAGAGCAAGUCAGAGGAUCCUUGACCUAGGCUGAUAGGAGAGAGAAGAGAGCAAGUCAGAGGUUCCUUGGCCUAGGCUGAUAGGAGAGAGAAGAGGGCAAGUCAGAGGUUCCUUGGCUGAUAGGAGAGAGAAGAGGGCAAGUCAGAGAAUCCUUGGCCUAGGCUGAUAGGAGAGAGAGAAGAGGGCGAGUCACAGGAGCCUUGGCUGAUAGGCUGCUGUUAAUUGCAUAGAUGGAGGCCUUUUUAAUUGAAGUCAAACAAAAGUUAAAGGAGAGUGUCAUUUAACAGAAGCCAACAAGGGGAAUGUCUUAGGGGCAUUUUGUUAACUUUAAUUGAUUUAAUUAAAUAUUUAUUAUCAUUUGUUUUAUCAUAAUUGUUAUUGUGUAUUAUUAUUGUAGGCCUAUUUAAGAAUCUAAACCAGUUCUUUAAGUAAGCAAGUUUUUUGUUUCCUUUUGUUGAGACAUUUUCACUGUCUUUUUGAUUUUGUGGUCCAUAUGCUAAAAGUUUAAAAGUAGGCCUGUUUUAAAAUAAGUAGGAGAUUGCCUAGCAGUUAAGAGCAUUGGGCCAAUAACCGAAAGGUUGCUGGUUUGAAUCCCGAACCGACUAGGUGAAAGAUCUACCAAUGUGCCCUUGAGCAAGGCAUUGAACCAUAAUUGCUCCUGUAAGUCACUCUGGAUAAUAGCGUCUGCUAAAUUACUAAAAUGUAAAUGCAUUCGCAUAUUGCUGUCAUUUGUUGGUAGGCCUACGGUAUGCACUGGCCUUGGUUGUUAGGCCUACGGUAUGCACUGGUCUUGGUUGGUAGGCCUACGGUAUGCACUGGCCUUGGUUGUUAGGCCUACGGUAUGCACUGGCCUUGGUUGGUAGGCCUACGGUAU